CCUACGGGAGGCUGCAGUAGGGAAUCUUCCACAAUGGGCGCAAGCCUGAUGGAGCAACGCCGCGUGCGUGAAGAAGGUCUUCGGAUCGUAAAACCCUGUUGUUAGAGAAGAAAGUGCGUGAGAGUAACUGUUCACGUGUCGACGGUAUCUGACCAGAAAGCCACGGCUAACUACGUGCCAGCAGCCGCGGUAAUACGUAGGGGGCAAGCGUUAUCCGGAUUUAUUGGGCGUAAAGGGAUCGCAGGCGGUCUUUUAAGUCUGAUGUGAAAGCCUUCGGCUUAACCGGAGUAGUGCAUUGGAAACUGGGAGACUUGAGUGCAGAAGAGGACAGUGGAACUCAAUGUGUAGCGGUGAAAUGCGUAGAUAUAUGGAAGAACACCAGUGGCGAAGGCGGCUGUCUGGUCUGCAACUGACGCUGAGGCUCGAAAGCGUGGGUAGCAAACAGGAUUAGAUACCCGAGUAGUC
rnacentral:rRNA from 1 species